rnacentral:rRNA from 1 species
GAUGAACGCUGGCGGCGUGCCUAAUACAUGCAAGUCGAGCGAACGGACGAGAAGCUUGCUUCUCUGAUGUUAGCGGCGGACGGGUGAGUAACACGUGGAUAACCUACCUAUAAGACUGGGAUAACUUCGGGAAACCGGAGCUAAUACCGGAUAAUAUUUUGAACCGCAUGGUUCAAAAGUGAAAGACGGUCUUGCUGUCACUUAUAGAUGGAUCCGCGCUGCAUUAGCUAGUUGGUAAGGUAACGGCUUACCAAGGCAACGAUGCAUAGCCGACCUGAGAGGGUGGUCGGCCACACUGGAACUGAGACACGGUCCAGACUCCUACGGGAGGCAGCAGUAGGGAAUCUUCCGCAAAGGGCGAAAGCCUGACGGAGCAACGCCGCGUGAGUGAUGAAGGUCUUCGGAUCGUAAAACUCUGUUAUUAGGGAAGAACAUAUGUGUAAGUAACUGUGCACAUCUUGACGGUACCUAAUCAGAAAGCCACGGCUAACUACGUG